GACGAACGCUGGCGGCGCGCCUAACACAUGCAAGUCGAACGAGCGAGAGAGAGCCUGCUUUCUCAAGCGAGUGGCGAACGGGUGAGUAACGCGUGAGGAACCUGCCUCAAAGAGGGGGACAACAGUUGGAAACGACUGCUAAUACCGCAUAAGCCCACAGGUCGGCAUCGACCAGAGGGAAAAGGAGCAAUCCGCUUUGAGAUGGCCUCGCGUCCGAUUAGCUAGUUGGUGAGGUAACGGCCCACCAAGGCAACGAUCGGUAGCCGGACUGAGAGGUUGAACGGCCACAUUGGGACUGAGACACGGCCCAGACUCCUACGGGAGGCAGCAGUGGGGAAUAUUGCACAAUGGGGGAAACCCUGAUGCAGCGACGCCGCGUGGAGGAAGAAGGUCUUCGGAUUGUAAACUCCUGUUGUUGAGGAAGAUAAUGACGGUACUCAACAAGGAAGUGACGGCUAACUACGUG
rnacentral:rRNA from 1 species